rnacentral:rRNA from 1 species
AGAGGAAGUAAAAGUUGUAACAAGGUUUCCGUAGGUGA